CUCUCUCCAUCUCAAACCCUUCUCCCUCUUCAUCUCAAACCCUUCUCUCUCUCAACCUCACCCAAAAAUUCCGACGAUUCGACUGUCGUUCUACUUAGAGAACUCCAAUCUAACGCUUUAUGUCACGGUCGCCUUCUCUCGCCUCCGCCGUGCCGAUAAACCUGCGAUUCCCAAGAUGGUCAAACCCACGCAGCCCCCUCGCCGACGCAUUGGGAAAUUGGUGGCCGAUCCCGCGGCAGAGGUCGUAUUCGAGGAGGUUCCCGCCGCGGUAGAGAUCGUGGAGCCUCCUCAGCCUCGUGAUUGAGUCUGACAAUAUUUCCCCAUUUCUAUCCUAGAGAGAAAAUGAGAUAUAAGGUUUGCUUUGGUGCUGAUUUAUUUCUGGGCUACUAGCGUUGGAUCUUCCAGACUCCUUUUGCAUGAGCCUCGGAAAUGGAUUUGGAAGGAACGGAGAGACUUGAAAGCAGAGCUGGCAUUGGGCUUGGAAGGAACGGAGAGGCGUCUAGGAGGCCUGGCAGACUUCUCCUUGCCGGAGAGAUCGAGAACACUCACACUCUUAGUUUUUUGCCUAUUGAAUCAUUGAUGAAUGCUAACCUAGAUAUGAGCCCUAUAAGGAGGUCGACGCCAAGUUUUUGAUGUCAAUGUGCACAAACAAUUAUUUGGGUGAGAUCUUUCUAUACUAUCUUUCCUUGAACUGUUGUGUCCCUGGUUUAGAGGAUAAAAUUGUGAUUUGCUUGAACUAUGGUGUCUCUGCCUCAUUUAAUUUAUGUGGUGUACAUUGUGGGCUGGUUGCUUGGAAAGUUGUUUGGAGUUUUGUUGAUUGCUGCUUAGUUGUUGGUUUAUGUACAUUUUUGGCUGGCUGUUGGCUAUUUGUUGGGUUCUAUGUAUUGUUGGCUGGAUGUUGGCUUAUUGUUGGAUGGUUGUUGAUUGGUUAAGCAUGUCAUGUGUGUUAUAUGUGCAUUAUUGGGGGAUUUUGUAAAGCUAUUUGAUGGGAAGUUUUUGUAAAGCUAUUUGAUGGGUGGGUUGAACAAGUUUUGCUUUGCCAUUUCAUGCCUGCAUACAAAAUAAUUUACAUUCAAAAAGUUUUACAAAAAUAUGCAUGAUUUAUGCAUUAUGUUUGUCAACAUAAUGCAAUACUCAUGCAACCCUUUAGCUUAACAAAAUCUAACAUGCACCGUCAUUUUUCACAAAAAAAACCACAUAAUGUGCAUUGCCAUAGCUUAAACCUCUUCAGUCUCUUCAACGUCUUCAGCCCCUUCAAUCACUUUAGCUCCUUUAAUAUGCUCAGCCCCUGCAAUCACUUCAGUCCCUGCAAUAUGCUCAGCCCCUACAAUAUUCUCAACCCUUGCUUCAGCCCCUUCAACGUUUGCAGCCACUUCAAUCACUUUAGCCCCUUCAAUAUGCUCAGCCCUUCAAUCACUUCAGCUCCUGCAAUCACUUCAGCCUCUGCAAUAUGCUCAACCCCUUCAAAAACUUCAGCCCCUGCAAUGACACCUGCCCUUCCUAUCUGUUGAAUACCCAAAGCUUGGGAUAUUAUAUGAAGCCCAUCAGUACAACCCAUAGUCUUCAAGUAUUCAAUUGCCUCAAUGGCCAGGUCCACGGGAACCUCCAGAUUGGUUGGAAGUUGGGCAUAUCUCCUGAGGCUCGCCUUUCCCAUAUGUGGGAUUUUGUAUUUGUUUUGUCCCUGGACCUUCAUUAUCUCCACCAUACAGCCUUGCAGGGAUAGGAAAACAUUAUCCAAUGUCUGAGGAGCUAAAUCAUGGAAAGAUUUCUCCACAGCUUGAACUAAUUCAUCUAAAUUGUUGCAUGCAGUCUGAUGUUGCAAUGACUGUAUUGCCCUGAACCACCCUAAGUCGUUCACAUUAGUGUCAGGUGAGUUUGGUGGUUGUUGAACUAGUGACAUUGUGAACCCAUUCUGAUUGGCAGCCUGUAUAAAAUCUGGAUCAUCAUUUGAAAUGUGUGGCUUUGCAUUAUCUUGUUGUAUCUUGAUACACUUGGAUGCCCCAUCUGGCCAUUUUGCCAUGAUGGCAGGGAUUAUCUGAGUAAAUACAUGAAAAUGAUUGAAAUGGGGUCAUAAAUGAAACUGGAAAUAAAUAUUCUUGCACAUUUGCAUUAAAAUUAGUGGGUCAUGAAGUUGUAGGCCCAUUGGAAUGCAUUUAAAGUGUGCAUAUAGUAAAGGCAUUAGGUUAAUGCAUACAUACAUUUGUUAUUAGACAAUCCUUGAUCACAAUCUUUGUGAUACUCUCUAUGGGCUUUGUCUCUAUUGUGCCUGCGGGUCUAUUCUUGCUUGACCUUUGGGCUGCAACUUGUUUUGUAUAGGGAAAAAUCCCAAUUUUUCCGUCAAAUAAGCAUUCACCGUUUGAUCCAAAUAGUGGCCUGCUCACUGCACACAUGAACAUUAUCUUUGAAAUAAAUUUCUUAUUGCUACAUGUCCUAUGUGGUUCUUCCUCCCCUGGUGCGAGAUAGUAUCGGUCUGAACCUUUUGUGAUAUAAAACCAUUUUUCAUCAAUGUGAAUGGUAUUGUGCAUGUUUUUGAAUAUGAUCCUAUUCAAGAUCAUAUCCAAUUCUAAUGCUUCCAAGCUGAAUCUCAUGCGUAGCAGCUUAUUAUCAGCUGAUAAAUCUGGCCGGUUGGCCGAAGUAUGUGGCUUGAUCAAACCUGCUUUGACCCAUCUCCAAACUGUAGUUUUGGAACAUUUUAACCUAGCACUCAAGCUCAAGAGGUUGCUCCUCUAAGAGUAAGCAUUCCACAGCCUUGUGCAUGAUUGACAUGAAAUCUUGAACUUCAGUUGCGCCGCCUUCAUCGUACCCCGGGGUGGUUUUCCAUUGAUGCACUUCCCGAUUAUGAACUGCACAACCUGGUUUUUAAACUCGGGACGGAAUUCAAUUCGAGCCAUUUAUUGCAUUAAAGAAGUUAUGAAAACUUGAGGUUGUUGGAGCAUUGAAUUUGAAGUAUUGAAUGUGAAGAAGUUGAAGUGAAUGUAUUUAUAAAAGUUGUUGAACACAAAUUUCAAUGUGUAUUCAUUCACUUCUGCCGCCCAUUUUUUGGUGGCAAAACUGGCGCCUCAUUUUUUUGUAAAAAUUUGAUCUUAUUUUCAGUUUCCAAGAGUUUC